GAUCAAGCGCAUAAGGGCUUCUGACGGAUGCCUUGGCAUUGAGAGGCGAUGAAAGGACGUGGCACGCUGCGAUAAGGUCCGGGGAGGCGCGAGCACCCUUUGAUCCGGACAUUUCUGAAUGGGGAAACCCACCUUUACAAUCUGCGAAUGUGAUCUUCAGCUUCGGCUGGAGUUCAGGUUCGUUGGUUGUUCAAAGGUAUAAUGACCUGAAUACAUAGGGUUCAUUAAGCAAACCCGGGGAACUGAAACAUCUCAGUACCCGGAGGAAAGGACAUCAACCGAGACUCCCGUAGUAGUGGCGAGCGAACCGGGACCAGGCCAGUGCUGUCGUGACAUAAAGCGAACGAUUGGAAAGGUCGGCCAUAGCGGGUGAUAGCCCCGUAGCGUCAAAUAGCGACAGACUCGAGUAGGGCGGGACACGUGAAAUCCUGUCUGAACAUGGGGGGACCACCCUCCAAGCCUAAGUACUCCUCAGGACCGAUAGUGAACAAGUACCGUGAGGGAAAGGUGAAAAGCACCCCGACAAGGGGAGUGAAACAGAUCCUGAAAUCGGAAGCCUACAAGCAGUCGGAGCCACCAAGCGGGGUGACGGCGUACCUUUUGUAUAAUGGGUCAGCGACUUCAUGUGCCGUGCAAGCUUAAGCCGUUAGGUGUAGGCGCAGCGAAAGCGAGUCUGAAUAGGGCGAAUAAGUACGUCGCAUGACGACCCGAAACCAGGUGAUCUAUCCAUGAGCAGGUUGAAGGUGGUAACACACUGGAGGACCGAACCCGUGAAUGUUGAAAAAUUCUGGGAUGACUUGUGGAUAGGGGUGAAAGGCCAAUCAAACCUGGACAUAGCUGGUUCUCCGCGAAAA
rnacentral:ncRNA from 1 species